ACGGGGUGCAGCAGGCGCGAAAACUUCGCAAUGCGGGAAACCGCGACGAGGGAACUCCAAGUGCCAUGCAAUUUGUAUGGCUGUUUCCAUGUCUAAAAAACAUGGAGAGUAAGGGCUGGGUAAGACUGGUGCCAGCCGCCGCGGUAAUACCAGCAGCUCAAGUGGUGAUCCUUUUUAUUGGGCCUAAAGCGUCCGUAGCCGGUCUAGUAAAUCCUUGGGUAAAUCGUACCGCUUAACGGUACGAACUCUGGGGAGACUGCUAGACUUGGGACUGGGAGAGGUCGGAGGUACUCCAGGGGUAGGGGUGAAAUCCUGUGAUCCUUGGGGGACCACCAGUGGCGAAGGCGUCCGACUAGAACGGAUCCGACGGUGAGGGACGAAGCCCUGGGGCACAAACCGGAUUAGAUACCCGGGUAGUCCAGGGUGUAAACGCUGCGAGCUUGGUGUUGGGGGUCCUACGAGGGCGCCCAGUGCCGGAGAGAAGUUGUUUAGCUCGCCGCCUGGGAGUACGAUCGCAAGA
rnacentral:rRNA from 1 species